rnacentral:rRNA from 1 species
GCAAGGGAUCGAGCCGCCUAAGGUGGGGCAGAUGAUUGGGGUGAAGUCGUAACAAGGUAUCCCUACCGGAAGGUGGGGAUGGAUCACCUCCUUU